CACAGCAAUGAUGAUGAAGAUAUCUUCCCACAGCCCAAACAGACCACCACCACCGUCUCACCAGCAAAGAAGAAGAAGGAACCAGAGAGUAUAUUCUCCUCCUCCAAAUCAGCCUGCUCCUCUGAAAAGAGCAAUGACAGUGACGAUCUGAAGUUGGACAGUGACGAGGAAGACAAGGCCUUCUCAUACUCCAGCAGCUCUGCCUUCGACAAACCUGUCCCAGCUAAGAAAGUGAAGAAGCCUUCGGAUGCAGCUCCCAAACCCAGGAAAGCACCAGUACCCAAAGAGCCACCAAAACAGAAGUUGGACACGUCCGUUUGGGACUCCGACUCAGAUACCGGCUCCAAGAAGCCUGCAA